AGUGAACGCUGGCGGCAGGCCUAACACAUGCAAGUCGAACGGCAGCACAGGAGAGCUUGCUCUCUGGGUGGCGAGUGGCGGACGGGUGAGGAAUACAUCGGAAUCUACUUUUUCGUGGGGGAUAACGUAGGGAAACUUACGCUGAUACCGCAUACGACCUACGGGUGAAAGCAGGGGAUCUUCGGACCUUGCGCGAUUGAAUGAGCCGAUGUCGGAUUAGCUAGUUGGCGGGGUAAAGGCCCACCAAGGCGACGAUCCGUAGCUGGUCUGAGAGGAUGAUCAGCCACACUGGAACUGAGACACGGUCCAGACUCCUACGGGAGGCAGCAGUGGGGAAUAUUGGACAAUGGGCGCAAGCCUGAUCCAGCCAUACCGCGUGGGUGAAGAAGGCCUUCGGGUUGUAAAGCCCUUUUGUUGGGAAAGAAAUCCAGCUGGUUAAUACCCGGUUGGGAUGACGGUACCCAAAGAAUAAGCACCGGCUAACUUCGUGCCAGCCGCCGCGGUAA
rnacentral:rRNA from 1 species